rnacentral:rRNA from 1 species
GCAUGCCUUACACAUGCAAGUCGAACGGCAGCACGGGGGCAACCCUGGUGGCGAGUGGCGAACGGGUGAGUAAUGCAUCGGAACGUGCCCGGUAGUGGGGGAUAGCCCGGCGAAAGCCGGAUUAAUACCGCAUACGCACUGAGGUGGAAAGCGGGGGACCUUCGGGCCUCGCGCUAUCGGAGCGGCCGAUGUCGGAUUAGCUAGUUGGUGGGGUAAAGGCCUACCAAGGCGACGAUCCGUACCUGGUCUGAGAGGACGACCAGGCACACUGGGACUGAGACACGGCCCAGACUCCUACGGGAGGCAGCAGUGGGGAAUUUUGGACAAUGGGCGCAAGCCUGAUCCAGCAAUGCCGCGUGUGUGAAGAAGGCCUUCGGGUUGUAAAGCACUUUUGUCCGGAAAGAAAUCUCCUGGGUUAAUACCUCGGGGGGAUGACGGUACCGGAAGAAUAAGCACCGGCUAACUACGUGCCAGCAGCCGCGGUAAUACGUAGGGUGCGAGCGUUAAUCGGAAUUACUGGGCGUAAAGCGUGCGCAGGCGGCUAUGCAAGACAGAUAUGAAAUCCCCGGGCUCAACCUGGGAACUGCAUUUGUGACUGCAUGGCUAGAGUGCGUCAGAGGGAGGUGGAAUUCCGCGUGUAGCAGUGAAAUGCGUAGAGAUGCGGAGGAACACCGAUGGCGAAGGCAGCCUCCUGGGAUGACACUGACGCUCAUGCACGAAAGCGUGGGGAGCGAAAAGGAUUAGAUACCCUUGUAGUCCACGCCCUAAACCAUGUUCUCUGGCUAUGAGGAGUAUCGACCCUCUUCGUGGCGAAGCUAACGCGUUAAGAGAACCGCCUGGGUAGUACGGUCGCAAGACUAAAACUCAAAUGAAUUGACGG